rnacentral:rRNA from 1 species
UACGGGGGGGGCAAGCGUUGUUCGGAAUUACUGGGCGUAAAGGGUUCGUAGGUGGCCUGCUAAGUCAGACGUGAAAUCCCUCAGCUCAACUGGGGAACUGCGUCUGAGACUGGCAGGCUUGAGUGCAGGAGAGGAACGCGGAAUUCCAGGUGUAGCGGUGAAAUGCGUAGAUAUCUGGAGGAACACCGGUGGCGAAGGCGGCGUUCUGGACUGUUACUGACACUGAGGAACGAAAGCCAGGGGAGCAAACGGG